rnacentral:rRNA from 1 species
UACGGAGGGGCUAGCGUUGUUCGGAAUUACUGGGCGUAAAGCGCACGUAGGCGGAUCAGCCAGUCAGGGGUGAAAUCCCGGGGCUCAACCCCGGAACUGCCCUUGAUACUGCUGGUCUGGAGUUCGAGAGAGGCGAGUGGAAUUCCGAGUGUAGAGGUGAAAUUCGUAGAUAUUCGGAGGAACACCAGUGGCGAAGGCGGCUCGCUGGCUCGACACUGACGCUGAGGUGCGAAAGCGUGGGGAGCAAACAGGAUUAGAUACCCCCGUAGUCCCU